rnacentral:rRNA from 1 species
UACGGAGGGAGCUAGCGUUGUUCGGAAUUGCUGGGCGUAAAGCGCACGUAGGCGGCUUUGUAAGUUAGAGGUGAAAGCCCGGGGCUCAACUCCGGAACUGCCUUUAAGACUGCAUCGCUUGAAUCCAGGAGAGGUGAGUGGAAUUCCGAGUGUAGAGGUGAAAUUCGUAGAUAUUCGGAAGAACACCAGUGGCGAAGGCGGCUCACUGGACUGGUAUUGACGCUGAGGUGCGAAAGCGUGGGGAGCAAACAGG